rnacentral:rRNA from 1 species
AUUGAACGCUGGCGGCAGGCCUAACACAUGCAAGUCGAGCGGAGCGGCGGACGGGUGCGGGAUGCCUAGGAAUCUGCCUGGGAGUGGUGGAUAACGACCGGAAACGGGCGCUAAUGCCGCAUACUAUCAGAUUAGCCUAGGGCGGAUUAGCUAGUUGGAGGGGGAAAGGCCUACCAAGGCGACGACCCGUAACUGGUCUGAGAGGAUGAUCAGUCACACUGGAACUGAGACACGGUCCAGACUCCUACGGGAGGCAGCAGGGGGGAAUAGUGGACAAUGGGCGAAAGCCUGAUCCAGCCAUGCCGCGUGUGUGAAGAAGGUCUUCGGAUUGUAAAGCACUUUAAGUUGGGAGGCGUUACCAACAGAAUAAGCACCGGCUAACUUCGUGCCAGCAGCCGCGGUAAUUC